AUUUCAAGUCAUUUUCGCAGAUGGUACCAUGUGCAACACAAUAUGAAAUAGAGCAGCAGUUGCAAUCAGUUUAUACCAUUUCUAAAUUCAGGGAAGCUCAGGAAGAGUUCGCGGGGAAGGUUUACUGUGACCUCAUAUCUUCUUCAGAGGGGGCCUCUGGGACGACAUACGAAGUACGGCAGGAUUUUAUGUACGAGGGCCGAAGAAAGAAAAAAACAUUUUUUGUCACAUUCGAGAAAGAUAGUUGCGAGGUUGUAUGCAGCUGCCAUUUGUUCGAAUUUCGUGGAAUAGUUUGCCGUCAUGCAAUCGCAGUCUUGAUUCGCAGUGAUGUCAACUUACUUCCAGAACGGUAUAUACUUCGAAGGUGGAGGAGAGAUGUUAGUAGAGCACAUGCAAGGGUGUCAGUGAACUACGAUGGUUUGGUUAGUUCUCCUGAACAAUUAAGAUACGAUGACAUGUGUCGCGCGUUCGCGCAAAUUGCAGACCUUGCUGCUGAUGAUGAAGGGUGAGCACGUGCUAUUAUGGACUGGAUAAAAGUACAGUAUAAAGACCUGAUGACGGCAAGAAGGUCGAGUUUUGGAAGUAAUGCUCUCGUGCAUCACACUAGUCAGGGCGGCGAACAGUGUGCUACUUCGCAAAAUAAUGCAAGCAUGAAUGUGCAGAAUUCGAAAUUGUCGAACAGGAAAGGGCCGCCUAGGAAACUGCGUAGAAAAGGCCCGUUGGAGUCGAGUUCAUCCACAGCGAAGGUACAUUUAAUUAAAAAACUAUAGAUAUCAACGGACUAGUAUAUACAAAUAUUGAUUAUGUUUGGGGAGACAUGCAGGGAAUUUCAGCAUCAACAAAAGGAAAGAGACCGAGGGCAAGGCGUAGUGAUAUGCAAGAUGGUGGAGUUGACGUUCAGCAUGCGCCGCAACAACAUUACUCGGUGCAUACACCGAUGUCAUUUUUGCAGUACUCCAUGCCAACACAAUUCCUAAGUCCACAAUAUUCAUUCGCUACACCAUUCCCCCACACAGGGGUCUUACAAUCUUCAAGUUUUAUUCCUCCGUCGUCGUCAAAUAUUAUUUAUACUUCACAAGGUAAAAGCAUGAUUUGACAUUAUAAAUCAAUUCUUCAUUAUUGUUUAAUCGCAAACGAGGUUAUAAUUUUUAUUUCUAUUUCAUCAUGAGUGCUAAUGCAGUCUUCAAAUGUCCCACUUUGGACAGGAGGUGCAUCAGUCGAACAAGCAAGUACACG
rnacentral:lncRNA from 1 species